GUAUGUGGGCAUGAUCUAGAGCCCACUGAAGUCAAUGGGAAGUCACCCACUGGCUUCACUGGGCUUUAGAUCAGGCCCUACAAAU
rnacentral:pre_miRNA from 1 species